CUUCUUCCUUGAGCCGUUUCCUUCCAACGGAACUGAGCAAGUGAAGUUGGGAGCUGGUGUCCAGCUGGUCUAGUCCUGUAUUCUUCCAGUAUUUGCCCAGCACUUCUUUAGAAAACAUCCUGGAAGAGCAGAGAUGAAGAAGAGCCAUGCUUGCCCCCCAACUUGCCUGCGCCCCUCAGCCAAGCAGGUGCCGGGGCUGAACUGGGCACCCCCCUCCCCGGAAAGCCUGUCCCAGGCCUCCUGGGCCCAAGCAAACAGUAGUCGCCUCCCUGAAAUGAGUUCCGGUUGGUACAGCAUUCUCCCUCACCCCUUUAAAAUGGUGGUAAAGCACACGUAACAUAAAUGGUUACUGUCUUAAUCAUUUUAAGUGUACAGUUCAGUACACAUCGUGUAAGCACAUUCACACUCUUGUGUCACCAUCACCACCAUCCGGCUCCAGCUUUGGUUUCUUCUCCUGAAUGAAGCUCUAACCCAUUAGACACUAACUGCGCUUCCUUCCUCCCUGCAGCCCCUGGUAAUCUCGGUUCUGCUUCCGGUUUCCGGGGGUUUACAUAGAAGGAGAAGCCUACAUACGGCUGACUCAUAGCCCAUUGUGUGUAUGUACCACAGUUUAUUUAUCUACUCAUCUAUCGAUGGACACUUGGGUGGUUUCCACCUUUUGGCCAUUGUCAGAAUGCUUCUGAACUGUCUCCUCUCCCGUUUUGCAAGAAGCUAAUUAGCUUGCACGGCCACACAGACUUCGAAGUUGCGCGGUUUUCUGUUUUUGCGUCCAUGUGACUUGUGUCAGCAGUGGGAGCCCGACCACCCGGUGUCCAACUCCAUCUAAGGGUGGCUGGCCUGUGUGCAUCUCUGCUUGUGUUCAUGGAGGGUCUGCUCGUCGCUCGUCUGAGGGAGG